UACGUAGGGUGCAAGCGUUGUCCGGAAUUAUUGGGCGUAAAGAGCUCGUAGGCGGUUUGUCGCGUCUGCUGUGAAAACUCGGGGCUUAACCCCCGGGCCUGCAGUGGGUACGGGCAGACUAGAGUGCGGUAGGGGAGACUGGAAUUCCUGGUGUAGCGGUGAAAUGCGCAGAUAUCAAGGAGGAACACCGGUGGCGAAGGCGGCCUGCCUGGGCAGUAGCCGAAAGGCUUUCAAGCUGACACUGAGGCGCGACAGCGUGGGGAGCAAACAGG
rnacentral:rRNA from 1 species